GAUGAACGCUGGCGGCGUGCCUAAUACAUGCAAGUCGAGCGAAUGGAUUAAGAGCUUGCUCUUAUGAAGUUAGCGGCGGACGGGUGAGUAACACGUGGGUAACCUGCCCAUAAGACUGGGAUAACUCCGGGAAACCGGGGCUAAUACCGGAUAACAUUUUGAACCGCAUGGUUCGAAAUUGAAAGGCGGCUUCGGCUGUCACUUAUGGAUGGACCCGCGUCGCAUUAGCUAGUUGGUGAGGUAACGGCUCACCAAGGCAACGAUGGGUAGCCGACCUGAGAGGGGGAUCGGCCACACUGGGACUGAGACACGGCCCAGACUCCUACGGGAGGGAGCAGUAGGGAAUCUUCCGCAAUGGACGAAAGUCUGACGGAGCAACGCCGCGUGAGUGAUGAAGGCUUUCGGGUCGUAAAACUCUGUUGUUAGGGAAGAACAAGUGCUAGUUGAAUAAGCUGGCACCUUGACGGUACCUAACCAGAAAGCCACGGCUAACUACGUGCCAGCCGCCGCCGUAA
rnacentral:rRNA from 1 species